ensembl:lncRNA
GUGGGUUGUAGGAGAUGGGGCUGUAGGGGGCUGUGUUGGGAAUACAGGGAGGGUGUGAGGGGCCAUGGGGAGGCCAGAGGGAGAAAUGGGACUGUGGGGGGUAUAGGGUAGGGCUUUGGGGCGACAGGGGGCUGUAGUGGGUUACAGGGGUGGAUAUUGGGGGAUAUGGGGCUGUAGUGUUCUGUGGGGGCUAUCGGGAGGGUUGUGGGGCUAUCUGGGGCUUUAGUGGGGGCCGUAGAGGGAUAUAGGGCUGUGUGGGGGUUGUUGGAAAAUAUGAGGCUAGGGUGGCUGUAUGGGUGUGUGGGGCUUUAGGGAGCUAAAUUGUGUCUCUAGGUGGGCUAUGAAGCUCUGGAAAGCUGUGGGGGACUGUAGAAGGGGUAUUGGGGUAUAUGGGAAAAGAGGGGUCUGUGGUUGGGAUCUAGGGAUCUGUGGGCAGCUAUUGGGGGAAAUGGGGCUCUAAGGUGCUGCAGGGUCUUUACAGAGUGUUUUAGGGCUAUAUGGGGGAUAUAGAGGGAUUUGGUUCUCU